UACGUAGGGGGCAAGCGUUGUCCGGAUUUAUUGGGCGUAAAGAGCGUGUAGGCGGUUCGGUAAGUCUGUCGUGAAAUCCUGAGGCUCAACCUCGGGCCGUGCGAUGGAUACUGCCGGGCUAGAGGGUGGUAGAGGCGAGUGGAAUUCCCGGUGUAGCGGUGAAAUGCGCAGAUAUCGGGAGGAACACCAGUAGCGAAGGCGGCUCGCUGGGCCACACCUGACGCUGAGACGCGAAAGCUAGGGGAGCGAACGAG
rnacentral:rRNA from 1 species